rnacentral:tRNA from 1 species
GGGAGUGGUUCGUGCCCGGUGGUGCGCCCGGUCUUCAAAACCGGUGGUGGGUUGCGCAGAGCAAGCCACGGUGGGUUCGACUCCCAUCCACUCCCG